UAGGGAAUCUUCCGCAAUGGACGAAAGUCUGAUGGAGCAACGCCGCGUGAGUGAUGAAGGUUUUCGGAUCGUAAAGCUCUGUUGUUAGGGAAGAACAAGUACCGUUCGAAUAGGGCGGUACCUUGACGGUACCUAACCAGAAAGCCACGGCCAACUACGUG
rnacentral:rRNA from 1 species